rnacentral:rRNA from 1 species
CCUACGGGCGGCAGCAGUGGGGAAUAUUGGACAAUGGGCGAAAGCCUGAUCCAGCCAUGCCGCGUGUGUGAAGAAGGCCUUCGGGUUGUAAAGCACUUUCAGUGGGGAAGAAAGCCUUGGGGCUAAUACCCUCGAGGAAGGACAUCACCCACAGAAGAAGCACCGGCUAACUCCGUGCCAGCAGCCGCGGUAAUACGGAGGGUGCGAGCGUUAAUCGGAAUUACUGGGCGCAAAGCGCGCGUAGGCGGUCUGAUAAGCCGGUUGUGAAAGCCCCGGGCUCAACCUGGGAACGGCAUCCGGAACUGUCAGGCUAGAGUGCAGGAGAGGAAGGUAGAAUUCCCGGUGUAGCAGUGAAAUGCGUAGAGAUCGGGAGGAAUACCAGUGGCGAAGGCGGCCUUCUGGACUGACACUGACGCUGAGGUGCGAAAGCGUGGGUAGCAAACAGGAUUAGAUACCCUGGUAGUC